CUCAGCAGGCCUGAGCCUUGUGCCUCUUCACCUUGGGGGCACAGUAUCACCAUGCAGAGGGACACUCAUGCUUCUUCCCAUCCUGGCUUUUCUGCAUCCUGCUCCAGGACACAUUGUGCUACAUGCUGGGUCCUCACAGAGGAAGAGUCCUGCCUCCACCUCCUGGUCUGAUGUAUGUUGAGCCAUCCUGGAUUUCCUUAGGAAUCAGUGAGGCAGGGGCACCCCACAGACCCCCACACUGUAUCACGAGGAAGCUGCAGCACUUCCUGUCCUUACUGCAGCUUUUGUCUCCUCUGUGGUAGGUCAGAAGAGCUGCAGCUAUAAAGGCAAGAGGUAGACUACAACAAAUUCCUGCAAGGACAACAUUUUAUCCUUAAACUUCAGUACACUUGAUGGUC
ensembl:lncRNA